rnacentral:misc_RNA from 1 species
UGAUGUCACAUUACAGUAAGACUGGUUCAGUAGUAUUAGUAGUUUGUUUCAGAUGGUGCAUUUUUUCUUGUACUUCUUUGCCUUACUUUAUGUGCUAUGUGUCACAGAGUACAAUAUUAAAGUUAUUUCAUUUCUAGAGUUUCUUUGUAGUAAUAUCUGAUAUCUUAAGAAAUUUUUGAUUUCUACUGCUUAUCGAAUGAACUUGGAGUCAUAUAUAUUUGGACUAGUAUUUCAGAACUUUAUAAUCUUUUAGGAAUAUUUUGUUGGUGCUCCUGUAGAAUUAUAGCUUGAAUCUCAAUGUUUUUGAUGAAAGAAUUAAGAUAUUGUUACAAAUAGGUUCAAUUACGUAAACUAUGAAAUAUCCAUUCAAAAGGUGCAUUAAAAAUAAUUCUAUGUAUAUACAUGUAUGAUUAUUUUUUCAGGUUGAUAAUUUGUCCAUUUUCUCCUUUUCUUUAUUUGAGACAAUGUUUCUGAUUUCACUGUGAUAGAUAUAAUUAUCUUUCUCCAGCUUGCCGUUAAGUAUACCAAAUAAUCGAUGUUGUGAAAUUUUACCAAAGCUUUAUAAAUGUUUGUUAGUCUCAUCAAACAGUAUGUUGGGUACAUAAUGGUACAUGUACUUACUUCAUUUGCAAAAAUUAGAAUUGGUUGUUAAUUUUCUAUAACUGUGGAUUGAUUUAUGAUUAAAUUAUUACACAC